rnacentral:rRNA from 1 species
UAGGGAAUCUUCCGCAAUGGACGCAAGCCUGACGGAGCAACGCCGCGUGAGUGAAGAAGGAUUUCGGUUCGUAAAACUCUGUUGUUAGAGAAGAACAGCGCAUAGAGUAACUGUUAUGCGUGUGACGGUAUCUAACCAGAAAGCCACGGCUAACUACGUGCCAGCAGCCGCGGUAAUACGUAGGUGGCAAGCGUUGUCCGGAUUUAUUGGGCGUAAAGCGAGCGCAGGCGGUCAAUUAAGUCUGAUGUGAAAGCCCCCGGCUCAACCGGGGAGGGUCAUUGGAAACUGGUUGACUUGAGUGCAGAAGAGGAGAGUGGAAUUCCAUGUGUAGCGGUGAAAUGCGUAGAUAUAUGGAGGAACACCAGUGGCGAAGGCGACUCUCUGGUCUGUAACUGACGCUGAGGCUCGAAAGCGUGGGUAGCAAACAGG